UACGGAGGGGGCUAGCGUUGUUCGGAAUUACUGGGCGUAAAGCGCACGUAGGCGGCUUUGUAAGUUAGAGGUGAAAGCCCAGGGCUUAACCCUGGAAUUGCCUUUAAGACUGCAUCGCUAGAAUCGUGGAGAGGUGAGUGGAAUUCCGAGUGUAGAGGUGAAAUUCGUAGAUAUUCGGAAGAACACCAGUGGCGAAGGCGACUCACUGGCCCGUAACUGACGCUCAUGCACGACAGCGUGGGGAUCAAACAGG
rnacentral:rRNA from 1 species